UACGUAGGGUGCAAGCGUUAUCCGGAAUUAUUGGGCGUAAAGAGCUCGUAGGCGGUUUGUCGCGUCUGCUGUGAAAACCCGAGGCUCAACCUCGGGCCUGCAGUGGGUACGGGCAAACUAGAGUGCGGUAGGGGAGAUUGGAAUUCCUGGUGUAGCGGUGGAAUGCGCAGAUAUCAGGAGGAACACCGGUGGCGAAGGCGGUUCUCUGGGCCUGACCUGACGCUGAGGAGCGAAAGCGUGGGGAGCGAACAGG
rnacentral:rRNA from 1 species